rnacentral:rRNA from 1 species
CCUACGGGAGGCUGCAGUGGGGAAUAUUGGACAAUGGGGGGAACCCUGAUCCAGCCAUGCCGCGUGUGUGAAGAAGGCCCUCGGGUUGUAAAGCACUUUCAGUGAGGAAGAACGCCUGGUGGUUAAUACCCAUCAGGAAAGACAUCACUCACAGAAGAAGCACCGGCUAACUCCGUGCCAGCAGCCGCGGUAAUACGGAGGGUGCGAGCGUUAAUCGGAAUUACUGGGCGUAAAGCGCGCGUAGGUGGCUUGAUAAGCCGGUUGUGAAAGCCCCGGGCUCAACCUGGGAACGGCGUCCGGUGCUGUGGAUCUAGCGGGCAGGAGCGGAAGGGAUGACCCGCGGUGUAGCGGUGUUGCGCGUAGAGGACGGACAGGGGAGAAGUGGCGGAGGCGGAAUGCGGGACUGACGCUGACACGGAGGUGCGACAGCGUAGGGAGCGGACAGGACCAGAUACCCUAGUGGUG